UCUCCAUCCCAACACUGAAUGUGUCCUUCCCAGUGUUGAACUUCUCUAUCCCAAUGUUGAACAUCUCAACACUGAAUAUCUCCAUCCCAUUGCUGAACGUCUCCACCCCACUGCUGAACAUUUCCAUCCCAGUGUUGAAUAUCUCCACCCCAGUGCUGAACAUCGCCAUCCCAGUGCUGCGUAUCUCCAUCCCAACACUGAACAUCUCCACCCCCAGUGCUGAACUUUUCCAUCCCAAUGCUGAACAUCUUCAUCCCAAAUCUGAACAUCUCCAUCCCAGUGCCACACAUCUGCAUCCCAAAGUGGAAUAUCUCCAUCCCAAUGCUGAACAUCUCCAUCCCAGUUCUGAACAUCUCCAUCCCAAUACUGAACAUCUCCAUCCCAAUACUGAACAUCUCCAUCCCAUGCUGAACAUCUCCAUCCCAGUGCUGAACAUCUCUAUGCCAACGCUGAAUAUUUCCAUCUCCAUUUUCUGAGAAACACCCUGCAAGAGUCUCAGGAAGGCUGAGGACCUCAUGGUGACACCCAACAAGAAUGGACACUUCCCCCAGAGAUGUUCCCUGUUAGAAACAUAUGCCCAGUGCAGAGCCCUGGGGUAAAGCCAAGGCUGUGAUGCUCCCUGUUUUCCUCCCCGCGCCUGGCAAAGCUGUGCCCUCCAUCGGCCAAACAAUCCUGCCCUGCCCCCGUGCCCUCUGGUUGCAGCAAGGCUGUAGCAAAUCCGAGCAGGGGGACAACACAGUUCAACACAGUGUAAAACAGCAGUCGGAGCACGGCGGUGCAGAGGCAGUGCCCAAAGCAAACACACUGCUGCGAAAAAAACCUUCCCAGCUUAGUGCGCCCUUCUAAAAACACAGAGUGACUUCAGAAAAAUGUGAGAAAACAUGAGCUGCUCACCCCCAGAGGGAAAACAGAGCACAGGAGCCAUAGGAUGGAGCCUGCUGCCUGCAGCCGUGUCCCCAUGGCAGAGGAUCCUGGGGCCAUCGCGGUGCCUGGGAAGGGCUGAGCUCCCUUAAAGAGCAGUCGGAUGAUGAAUGUGGAGUUGAAAACCUCUUAGAGAAGGGAUGUGCCACAGCAGCCCGCUUC
rnacentral:lncRNA from 1 species